CAGCCGCCGCGGGAAUACGAAGGGGGCUAGCGUUGUUCGGAUUUACUGGGCGUAAAGCGCACGUAGGCGGACUUUUAAGUCAGGGGUGAAAUCCCGGGGCUCAACCCCGGAACUGCCUUUGAUACUGGGAGUCUUGAGUUCGAGAGAGGUGAGUGGAAUUGCGAGUGUAGAGGUGAAAUUCGUAGAUAUUCGCAGGAACACCAGUGGCGAAGGCGGCUCACUGGCUCGAUACUGACGCUGAGGUGCGAAAGCGUGGGGAGCAAACAGGAUUAGAUACCCGGGUAGUCCCUGUCUCUUAUAC
rnacentral:rRNA from 1 species